rnacentral:rRNA from 1 species
AGAACGAACGCUGGCGGCAGGCCUCAAACAUGCAAGUCUAGGGGGUGUAGCAAUACAUCACCGGCGGACGGGUGCGUAACGCGUGGGAAUAUACCUAUUGGUUCGGAACAACUGAGGGAAACUUCAGCUAAUACCGAAUGUGCCCUAACGGGGAAAGAUUUAUCGCCAAUGGAUUAGCCCGCGUUCGAUUAGCUAGUUGGUGGGGUAACGGCCCACCAAGGCGACGAUCGAUAGCUGUUCUGAGAGGAAGAUCAGCCACACUGGGACUGAGACACGGCCCAGACUCCUACGGGAGGCAGCAGUUGGGAAUCUGGACAAUGGGGAACCCUGAUCCAGCCAUGCCGCGUGAGUGAUGAAGGCCUUCGGGUUGUAAAACUCUUUCGCGCACGACGAUAAUGACGGUAGUGCGAGAAGAAGCUCCGGCUAACUUCGCGCCAGCAGCCGC